rnacentral:rRNA from 1 species
GAUGAACGCUAGCGGCAGGCCUAAUACAUGCAAGUCGAACGGAUAUAUGUUUUUCGGAAUAUAUAUUAGUGGCGCACGGGUGAGUAACACGUACAUAACUUGCCCUCAAGCGGGGGAUAGCCUUGGGAAACUGAGAGUAAUACCCCAUAGAAUUAUUGGACGGCAUCGUUUGAUAAUUAAAACUACGGUGUUUGGGGAUAGAUGUGCGUCUGAUUAGCUAGUUGGUGAGGUAACUGCUCACCAAGGCGACGAUCAGUAGGGGGGCGUGAGAGCGUGGCCCCCCACACGGGUACGUGAGACACGGACCCGGACCUCCUACGGGAGGCAGCAGUAAGGAAUAUUGGUCAAUAGGAGGGAACUACUGAACCAGCCAUGCCGCGUGAAGGAUGACGGCCC